rnacentral:rRNA from 1 species
CCUACGGGUGGCAGCAGUGGGGAAUAUUGCGCAAUGGGCGAAAGCCUGACGCAGCGACGCCGCGUGAGGGAAGAAGGUCUUCGGUACGUAAACCUCUGUCAGCAGGGAAGAAAGGUCAGUGUGCUAAUCAGGAGUGACUUGACGGUAACUACAAAGGAAGCACCGGCUAACGCCGGGCCAGCAGCCGCGAUAAUACGGCGGGUGGGAGCGUUAAUCGGAAUGACUGGGCGUAAAGCGCGCGUAGGCGGUAUGUCAAGUCAAGGGUGAAAUCCCCGCGCUCAACGUGGGAACUGCCUUUGAAACUGGCAAACUGGAGUGGGGGAGAGGAUAGUGGAAUGACAGGUGUAGGAGUGAAAUGCGUAGAUAUCGGGAGGAACACCAGUGGCGAAGGCGACUAUCUGGCACAUAACUGACGCUGAGGAGCGAAAGCGUGGGUAGCAAACAGGAUUAGAUACCCUAGUAGUC